UAGAGUUUGAUCAUGGCUCAGGAUGAACGCUGGCGGCGUGCUUAACACAUGCAAGUCGAACGAUGAAGCCCAGCUUGCUGGGUGGAUUAGUGGCGAACGGGUGAGUAACACGUGAGUAACCUGCCCCCGACUCUGGGAUAAGCCUGGGAAACUGGGUCUAAUACCGGAUAUGACCUCCUACCGCAUGGUGGGUGGUGGAAGAUUUAUCGGUGGGGGAUGGACUCGCGGCCUAUCAGCUUGUUGGUGAGGUAAUGGCUCACCAAGGCGACGACGGGUAGCCGGCCUGAGAGGGUGACCGGCCACACUGGGACUGAGACACGGCCCAGACUCCUACGGGAGGCAGCAGUGGGGAAUAUUGCACAAUGGGCGCAAGCCUGAUGCAGCAACGCCGCGUGAGGGAUGACGGCCUUCGGGUUGUAAACCUCUUUUGUCAGGGAAGAAGCGAAAGUGACGGUACCUGGAGAAAAAGCACCGGCUAACUACGUGCCAGCAGCCGCGGUAAU
rnacentral:rRNA from 1 species